ensembl:snoRNA SNORD22 Small nucleolar RNA SNORD22
UCCCAGUGAAGAAACAUUCAUGUCUUAUUUCCUGUCCUAGUCCCAGAGCCUGUAAAGGUGAACCCACUGGGGCUGGCUGGGGGAGAAGAGGAAAACUCAUUCCAGAAGGAACUGUCUGAGGGAU